GCAGCCGCGGUAAUACGUAGGGCGCGAGCGUUGUCCGGAAUUAUUGGGCGUAAAGGGCUUGUAGGCGGUUGGUCGCGUCUGCCGUGAAAUCCUCUGGCUUAACUGGGGGCGUGCGGUGGGUACGGGCUGACUUGAGUGCGGUAGGGGAGACUGGAACUCCUGGUGUAGCGGUGGAAUGCGCAGAUAUCAGGAAGAACACCGGUGGCGAAGGCGGGUCUCUGGGCCGUUACUGACGCUGAGGAGCGAAAGCGUGGGGAGCGAACAGGAUUAGAUACCCUGGUAGUCCACGCUGUAAACGUUGGGCACUAGGUGUGGGGGCCACCCGUGGUUUCUGCGCCGUAGCUAACGCUUUAAGUGCCCCGCCUGGGGAGUACGGCCGCAAGGCUAAAACUCAAAGGAAUUGACGGGGGCCCGCACAAGCGGCGGAGCAUGCGGAUUAAUUCGAUGCAACGCGAAGAACCUUACCAAGGCUUGACAUGCACGGCGGCACUGCAGAGAUGUGGUGGCAUUUAGUUGGUCGUGUGCAGGUGGUGCAUGGUUGUCGUCAGCUCGUGUCGUGAGAUGUUGGGUUAAGUCCCGCAACGAGCGCAACCCUUGCCCUAUGUUGCCAGCACGUGAUGGUGGGGACUCGUGGGGGACUGCCGGGGUUAACUCGGAGGAAGGUGGGGAUGACGUCAAAUCAUCAUGCCCCUUAUGUCUUGGGCUUCACGCAUGCUACAAUGGUUGGUACAGAGGGUUGCGAUACUGUGAGGUGGAGCGAAUCCCUUAAAGCCAGUCUCAGUUCGGAUUGGGGUCUGCAACUCGACCCCAUGAAGGUGGAGUCGCUAGUAAUCGCAGAUCAGCAACGCUGCGGUGAAUACGUUCUCGGGCCUUGUACACACCGCCCGUCACGUCACGAAAGUUGGUAACACCCGAAGCCCAUGGCCUAACCGUUUAUCGGGGGGAGUGGUCGAAGGUGGGAUUGGCGAUUGGGACGAAGUCGUAACAAGGUAGCCGUACCGGAAGGUGCGGCUGG
rnacentral:rRNA from 1 species